rnacentral:lncRNA from 10 species
UUGCCACGGUGGGGGGCAGGAUGCUGGGCUGGAUGGGCAGUUGCUGUGUUACAGCGUGCCACAUCCUCUGCUUCUCCAAACACACUGGAAAAUGACCUAAGACCACCUGCAACACUCAUCACAUGAGCUCUUCUGAUGCUCCCACAAGAGAAGCAGAUGUCUGCAAGUGAAUACUCAGGAUGCAGCCAACCGAAACAAGUUUUAACAUUACGUGAAAGUUGAUCUUUCUAGGGAAGGGGGAAAAGGUAAAGGACUGUGGACCUGUAUUAAAUGCUUGCUUUUUGACAACUCUUCCCUCCAAUGGAAGCAGUUAAACACAUUCAGAGGAAUUCUGCUGUUAAGGACUGUUGGCCUGAGGAUUCAAAUCUUGGUGAUCGUUUAAUUUUUCACAGACAAAUCUCACACAGUCUGGCUUGAUAAAUCAAGGACGAUUACUUCAAAGAUAGAAAAUGUAAUUUUGCAUUAAAAGCCUCAA